GACGAACGCUGGCGGCGUGCCUAAUACAUGCAAGUUGAGCGCUGAAGGUUGGUACUUGUACCAACUGGAUGAGCAGCAAACGGGUGAGUAACGCGUGGGGAAUCUGCCUUUGAGCGGGGGACAACAUUUGGAAACGAAUGCUAAUACCGCAUAAAAACUUUAAACACAAGUUUUAAGUUUGAAAGAUGCAAUUGCAUCACUCAAAGAUGAUCCCGCGUUGUAUUAGCUAGUUGGUGAGGUAAAGGCUCACCAAGGCGAUGAUACAUAGCCGACCUGAGAGGGUGAGCGGCCACAUUGGGACUGAGACACGGCACAAACUCCUACGGGAGGCAGCAGUAGGGAAUCUUCGGCAAUGGACGAAAGUCUGACCGAGCAACGCCGCGUGAGUGAAGAAGGUUUUCGGAUCGUAAAACUCUGUUGGUGGAGAAGAACGUUGGUGAGAGUGGAAAGCUCAUCAAGUGACGGUAACUACCCAGAAAGGGACGGCUAACUACGUG
rnacentral:rRNA from 1 species